ACAUGUAAUAAAUAAAUUAAAUGAAAUGAAAUAAAUGAUGGAGAAUGGAAAAGAAACUAAAGGAGAAAGGGACUUAUGUGCGCGUGUAUAUGUGAGAUACCAGUGAUGAACUAGUGGCCGAUGUCGUUCUACCAGCUAGUCGUCGGUUUCUUGUUUACUUUAUUUCUUAUUCAAUGGAGUACAUUAUUGAUUAUUGUGUGGUCCUGCUAAUCCUAAGGUGUCGAAUGCAAAAAAAAAAAAAGAAAAAUCGAUUAAAAUGUGUCCGAAGGGAAGUUGUCGUUUCCUGUCAAAAAAUUACGUAGACAUAAUUUUAUGUCAAAAAAUCUCAUAAUUUACCUUCAAAAAAUUUUGAUGCACAGGAUAUUUUAGCAAUGA
rnacentral:lncRNA from 1 species